AAACACAACACAACAGUUUUUGGAAAGAGAAACGAUUUUUAUUGGCUUGAUCGAACUCCCGAACUGCAGAGUAGACAGAUAGGACAGGUUAAUUUCACAUUGCCUUUUAUUGCUCCAGCUUCAACAGGCAUCAUAGUUAAUCCCGCAUUGCCUUCCACCGCUCCACCAACAGCAGGCAUUCACAUCAAUAUUAUUAUAUACUACACAUACUUUUAACAUGAAUAUAUAUUUAGAUGUACAUUGUAUUUCAAGUUGCAAUUGUAUUUAAGUGUAAAUUGCUUUUUCUAGAAAUAAAAUAUAUAUUUUUUAUCAACAGUA